ensembl:lncRNA
AUGACCCUCUUUAGCCCGAGAUACAUGAGCAUGAGUGGAGAGUUGAAGUCCAGCCGCUCCAGGGCAGCGAGUAAGAGGGCCAGCAACACCAUUUAUGGAUCCGAGUUCGACCUGGACUGUGACAGCUACCACGAGGACUACAAUGACAGGGCGUAUGACUACCAACGUGUGCCGGCCUCGCUGUCGCCUCUGCCCGUCGGACCCGGUCUGGCCAAGCGAUCCCGUUCCUCCUCCUACUCCUCUGGGAACAAACGCAGUCGAGACAGAACCCACUCCAAAAGCUCCAGAGCCCACUCCACAAAUUCAUCCACAGCCAAGUUGGGCAUGGAGGAGUUGCAGGUGAUUAAAAAGGAGCUGACUCUGAUAAAGACACAGAUCGAUGGGCUGCUCGACAAUCUUGACAAAAUGGACACAGAGAGGAAUGACAGCAAAGGAUCUCCCCUGAGAGAGGAGAGUCCAGCCGGCUCACUGUACGCUCUGUCUGCCAGCAGCCCCGAGCACUCCCUCUCCUCCCUCUCCCCCCCCAGCUCCCGCCAUCGAAUCCGCAGAGAGAAACCGGACCUGAGGGGGCCUGAUGAUGAACACCACACGGUAAAUGCACCUGAAGACUGUGUGUUCUGGAAUGACGGGGGGUGGGGGGGGGUUCUCUUCAGCUAUUGUUGUCCUAAAUAUAAUGCUGCCAACAUUUUAUGUCUGCUAGGGCCCCAUGUUGUGGAAUAUUUCAAUAAAAGCUUGGUAGAAGAGAAUGAUUUGUCUGAUAAAACAGAGUCUUGAUGAAUGAUCAAAGUUGCAAAAAGUCCAUUUAUUGCUUGCAAGCAGGAGGUCAAAUACACAGGCACGUAUCACGGUGCUCUGUGGAAAUGGCGUCUCCGAGCACUAAAGACGCUGAGUUUUUAUACACAUGUGAAGAACAUUCUCCGUGCCAGUUACGAGAAGCUGCAAAGCAGGUUGAGAUAAGAACCCAGGUGAAGCUGAGGGUAGCACACACACACACAAGAUCCUCCUCAGUGGCCGGUGAAAAUCAUAAUUAAUUGACAUGAAAGUAAAACUUGGAUCCUGAACUUUCGUACCGAAUAAGAUAUGAACCAAGGCCAUGAACAGAAGUCCUUUGUUUUGAAGCUUCAAUGAGAUCGAGUCGACUGCACUCCCUUCUCAGGACACAACUGCAAACUAACUUUUUGUAUCAUGCUGCUCUUUGCACAUCGGGGUCAAAUACAGGACACUUGAGACACGGCUUUAGCACAAAACAAUGUUAUAACAUAUUUUUACCAUUACACCCAUUAUGUGGAUGAUAAAAAAAAUAAUUUAGAACAAUAAGACACAGGAGAUUCCAUUACUUGUGUUCUAACAAAAGGCUGUUUAUACUGACACCUGUCAGAUUCACAGAUUUCAUUAUUGUCCAUAAGAUUAGCGUCAAAUGAAAUGUGCUCCUGGAAUUUGGCAACACACAAAAUACCCAAUUUACAAAAAGCACACCCAACAAUACGCAACAUGUGUGCACCUCAAAGUAUUACAGUGACCAAGUGGCGUUAAUAUAACGAUGGCUGAGUGGCUCGUUAAUCCACUGGUGUGUCGUCAUUUCAUUUCGCUUCACUUCAGUUAUUGUGAGCUUGCAGUUCAGGAAACGUCUCUUUGUUUUGUCCGUCUGUUACAGAUGAGCAACUACAGCUCUGACCCAGAGGAGGGAAUAUGAGGAAGAACCAUGGGAAGACAUAGAAGACAUGUAUUAAGUGCCAAACAUGGAGGAGGAGAAGAACAGCCGACACUCAAAUUGAACACGCUACAUGUAUGUUAUUGUGUCACAACAGCCUGGUUUCUGUGAGAAUACAUUCAAGUCUAAUUAAAACACUGACACAGUUGACUUAUACGCAUUAAGUACAAAGAUAUCCCAUUAGUAAUGAUUUGUAAGGUUGACCUGAGAGAGGACAACUGGAUGAACGGUAAUUAAUUCAUCUUUUAAUUCCCUAAGGAGGCAUUCCUAUUUAAUUGUAAAAGACGGGCUACACAAAUGCGUGUUUUCCAAAUAAAUCCAAACACUACAGAAUGAAGACAAAAAACGAGACACAUUUUAAACCUUGUGUUAGUAGUUUAAAAAUUGAUUCUGUCAGGCAGCAAAUGCCAGCAUCAGACUGUAAAUAUGGUAAUAAUUUAGAUUAAUAAUGUAUGUGUCAUGUUGCUAGAGGUGCUGCAACAUUCUGCUGCUUCACCUGUUUCUCCCAAGAAAGACAUUCUUCUAUCUUGAAUAAGAUAUCUUAGAAACAACAUAGAACCAAGAAUAUAAAUAAAGCUAGGGAACUUAAACACGACGUCAUUGACUUACUAAAAUAUUUCAAUUUUCAAAAUAAUGGUAUAAUUGCAAAAGCUACUGGAGUUUUACGUGUAAUGUAAAAGCAAAACAAAAGAAAGCACUACACUCUCCAACUUGAUCUCUUUUUGUUGACGCAUAGCUCAUCCUUUCCCUUUAUUGUAUACUUCUAAGAUGUGAAAAUUAGCUAGACAAAGUUAUCAACGGUUAUCUUUGAGAGAUUGAAGAUCAUUCAGGUGAAAGGUUGUUUUCUGCUUGUAUCAGUAUGCUGUAAAAUGUGUUGAUGAAAUGGUACUUCGGUCUUCCAUCAUGUAUUUGGCACUUUUAAGACACACAUAAUAUUGUGUAUUAUUGUAAACUUUACUGUAAUUGUUGAACUGUCUGAUUUGAAUCUUGCUUUAGGACUUCUCAUGUGUUUUUUUUUAAAGAAAACAAUUAUGUUAUUCCUAUGGUGUUACAUUUCUUUUGUUUGUUCUCCCGAUUAGCCAAGUGGAAAUACUCAGUCACAGUAGUAAAGGUAUUUUCAUAUUGAGUAUAAAUACAGUACAUGGAAGUGUGUGUGUGUUUUUUAAGAGACCAUAUGGUCAUAGAUCCUAAAAUGUUCUCACAAAUAAAUCCAAGUGCAUAAAUCAUAUUAUGAUAGACUGUAUGAAACAGGAAGGUUGAUUAUUGUAAUCAUAGUCUUGCUUGCAGGAACACAGAGAGGUAGAUCACAUGAUCGUAGGACUCUCUGAAUCCAGAACAUCGAUCUUUCUCUUUGCACGCAUGAUUCGAGCGAAGGUCAAUCGUACCGUCAGGCAGAAAUUGAAACACUCCAUAUUGUGUGUGUGGUUCUGAGGACGGCUGCAUUUCCAAGAGUUUUCAUGGCAAUAGCUUAGUAAAUGGACCUUCUGAUUAGAAUGUUUAUAACAGUUCAUGACACAGACUUUUUUGACAGUUGUGUCUAAGAAAGACUGAAAUAUAUGGUUGCAUUUUCGCAUAAAGUAAUCCCUAAAUGUUUGAUCAUUUUCUGAUAUGCUCUAUAUACUAAAAGCAUGUAGUCGUCUUUAGAUUAAGAACGUGUACAUGAGAAUCAAAUCCAAAUGCAGCUGUAUUUAUAAAUUAAAUAAUUCAGUAGCCUGAUAUAACUGUCACCAUCUUUUGAUGUGUUUAAAGAGCCGUGCCUGUUGGCCACAAUUAGCUUUAACAGAUCCCACAAUCUUUAAAUUAAACACUCUGGUUUGAACGCAUUAAAUUGAGAGGGAGGUAAAGGGAGGUAUUAUGUGCUCGUCUACGUCUGCCUUGGCCUCUGAUUAUUACACUUUCGUCAUCCAUUUCCACGAAGUUCAAAGUGCAGAAACCAAAGUGGCAAAAGGAGCUCUUGCACAACCAUUCUUCUGUUGACAGAAAGAUAAGCAUUUGAGAACUACAUGUCUUUCUGAAUAGGUCAGUAUGCACAAUUGCAAGAGGAAAACGUGACAAACAUCUGAUGCCGUUUAAUAAACCAUGAAAUUACAUAUUUUCAGUUAAAACCUCUCAUCCGGUAUAGUCACAGUACACAUGAGUGUAAACAGGCUGCAGCAGCUCAAGGGCCAUAUAUUGCCUCAAAAUAAGGUAAGCACAAAUCUUUUAAAAAUGUAUUAUACAAAAAACGAUUUCAUUCAUUGGAAUAGAAAAUGAUAUUAAACAUGUUGUAUGGAAGGUUUAUUACAUUAUAUAGCUAGUUGACUUAAAGUAAAAAGUAAGAUAAGCUACAACAGGAGCAGUCAAUAGUACAGUCAUGGAAAUAUAUUUGACACAAAAAGCUAUUGACUUAAUUAUUUUUCAAAUUUGGAAUCAACUGAUUAUAUCCAGGAUUUCAUUCAGCUGUUAUUAGUUUGAUGAACUAUCUGUAGUUGAGGUAACUACAUGUCCUUUUAAUACAAUUAUUCUAAGUACAUUACCCUUUAUACAUAAUAACUUACAAGAUACUUGUACAAUUUGCUACUUUUAUUUGCAGUGUUUUAAAUAGUAAAUUCAUGGCAGACUUACUAUAAACCUGCAUUAGAAAAAAUAAAUCAGUUUUAUUAUUUAUUAUUUUCCAAUGCGCUCCCGAAUAAAUCUCACACCAAAUUUCAACUUUUAAUGUUUGACAAC